rnacentral:rRNA from 1 species
GAGUUUGAUCGUGGCUCAGAUUGAACGCUGGCGGCAUGCCUUACACAUGCAAGUCGAACGGCAGCAUGAUCUAGCUUGCUAGAUUGAUGGCGAGUGGCGAACGGGUGAGUAAUACAUCGGAACGUGCCCUGUAGUGGGGAUAACUAGUCGAAAGAUUAGCUAAUACCGCAUACGACCUGAGGGUGAAAGUGGGGGACCGCAAGGCCUCAUGCUAUAGGAGCGGCCGAUGUCUGAUUAGCUAGUUGGUGGGUAAAGGCCCACCAAGGCGACGAUCAGUAGCUGGUCUGAGAGGACGAUCAGCCACACUGGGACUGAGACACGGCCCAGACUCCUACGGGAGGCAGCAGUGGGGAAUUUUGGACAAUGGGCGAAAGCCUGAUCCAGCAAUGCGCGUGUGUGAGAA